rfam:Alicyclobacillus ferrooxydans strain TC-34 contig_24, whole genome shotgun sequence.
CCGGUCAGAACUGCGACCGCGAACCUACCGUGACGUGGGAUGGUGGUAACGCCGUCUUGCAAAGCUCACGGGACAAUGUAGCCGAGGCUGAUAGGGAUAUUCGGUCCGGAGC